rnacentral:rRNA from 1 species
UACGUAGGGCGCAAGCGUUGUCCGGAAUUAUUGGGCGUAAAGAGCUCGUAGGCGGUUUGUCGCGUCGGCUGUGAAAACUCGGGGCUCAACCCCGAGCCUGCAGUCGAUACGGGCAGACUAGAGUGCUGUAGGGGAGACUGGAAUUCCUGGUGUAGCGGUGAAAUGCGCAGAUAUCAGGAGGAACACCGGUGGCGAAGGCGGGUCUCUGGGCAAUAACUGACGCUGAGGAGCGAAAGCGUGGGGAGCGAACAGG